UACGGAAGGUGCAAGCGUUGUUCGGAAUGACUGGGCGUAAAGCGCGCGUAGGCGGGUUUGUAAGUCGGAUGUGAAACCCCUGGGCUCAACCUAGGACGUGCAUCCGAAACUGCAGAUCUUGAAUGUUUGAGGGGUCGGCGGAAUUCCAGGUGUAGGAGUGAAAUCCGUAGAUAUCUGGAGGAAUACCAGUGGCGAAGGCGGCCGACUGGCAAAACAUUGACGCUGAGGCGCGAAAGCGUGGGGAGCAAACAGG
rnacentral:misc_RNA from 1 species